UCUUUGUAUUAUACAAAAAAGCACUCAAGCAAAAACCUUAUUUCUCCGGUAUUUACCUCCUGCGUACUAUGGGAACACUAAUAAUAAAGAAAUAUGCCCGAUAUGUCAGAAUUGUCAAAAGUAAUUCACCAAUUCAGAGUUUUCUUUUGUGAUAUAAACAUUUUUCGUCGGUUUCCUUAAGUUAUGCGCAAUGUAUUGCAUAGUGCAGCAUUGUGGAAGUAAAUGGAAACCGAAAUCCGACAUAAGAUUUCACAAUGUUCCAAAAGAUGAAACAAGGAGACAGCAUUGGCUGUCAAUUGUGCCGAUAAAGGAGUAAUUAGUAAUUUAAGGAGUUCCGUUCUGAUCUUCAUCAGCAGUUCCACUGCACCAAAUAUUUGAGGAGUUCCCUCAAUUUCUCUAGGAUCCCAACAUCAGAACUGGGUUGUGAUAAAAUGGGACCAAUCUGUAUGCAAUAUACAUUCAAUCAC